rnacentral:rRNA from 1 species
UACGAAGGGUGCAAGCGUUACCCGGAAUUACUGGGCGUAAAGCGUGCGUAGGUGGUUUGUUAAGUCUGAUGUGAAAGCCCUGGGCUCAACCUGGGAAUGGCAUUGGAUACUGGCGAGCUAGAGUGCGGUAGAGGGGUGUGGAAUUCCCGGUGUAGCAGUGAAAUGCGUAGAGAUCGGGAGGAACAUCUGUGGCGAAGGCGACACCCUGGACCAGCACUGACACUGAGGCACGAAAGCGUGGGGAGCAAACAGG